rnacentral:rRNA from 1 species
CCUACGGGUGGCUGCAGUGGGGAAUUUUGGACAAUGGGCGCAAGCCUGAUCCAGCCAUGCCGCGUGAGUGAAGAAGGCCUUCGGGUUGUAAAGCUCUUUCAGCCGGAAAGAAAACGCACGGGAUAAUACCCUGUGUGGAUGACGGUACCGGAAGAAGAAGCACCGGCUAACUACGUGCCAGCAGCCGCGGUAAUACGUAGGGUGCGAGCGUUAAUCGGAAUUACUGGGCGUAAAGCGUGCGCAGGCGGUUUUGUAAGACAGAUGUGAAAUCCCCGGGCUUAACCUGGGAACUGCAUUUGUAACUGCAAGGCUAGAGUACGGCAGAGGGGGGUAGAAUUCCACGUGUAGCAGUGAAAUGCGUAGAUAUGUGGAGGAAUACCGAUGGCGAAGGCAGCCCCCUGGGUCGAUACUGACGCUCAUGCACGAAAGCGUGGGGAGCAAACAGGCUUAGAUACCCCUGUAGUC